CCUACGGGCGACAGCAGUGAGGAAUAUUGGUCAAUGGACGAGAGUCUGAACCAGCCAAGCAGCGUGAAGGAUGACUGCCCUAUGGGUUGUAAACUUCUUUUAUAGAGGAAUAAAAGGAGGCACGUGUACCUGUUUGCAUGUACUUUAUGAAUAAGGAUGGGCUAACUCCGUGCCAGCAGCCGCGGUAAUACGGAGGAACCGAGCGUUAUCCGGAUUUAUUGGGUUUAAAGGGAGCGUAGAUGGGGUGUUAAGUCAGUUGUGAAAGCUUGCGGCUCAACCGUGAAAUUGCAAUUGAUACUGGCAGUCUUGAGUGCAGUUGAGGCAGGCGGAAUUCGUGGUGUAGCGGUGAAAUGCUUAGAUAUCACGAAGAACACCGAUUGCGAAGGCAGCCUACUAAACUGUGACUGACAUUGAGGCUCGAAAGUGUGGGUAGCAAACAGGAUUAGAUACCCGGGUAGUC
rnacentral:rRNA from 1 species